rnacentral:rRNA from 2 species
UUGGUUAAGUUAGAAAGGGCGCACGGUGGAUGCCUUGGCACUAGGAGCCGAAGAAGGACGGGACUAACACCGAUAUGCUUUGGGGAGCUGUACGUAAGCGUUGAUCCAGAGAUUUCCGAAUGGGGGAACCCACUAUCUUUAGUCGGAUAGUAUCCUUACGUGAAUACAUAGCGUGAGGAAGGCAGACCCAGGGAACUGAAACAUCUAAGUACCUGGAGGAAGAGAAAGAAAAAUCGAUUUCCUGAGUAGCGGCGAGCGAAACGGAAAGAGCCCAAACCAAGAAGCUUGCUUCUUGGGGUUGUAGGACACUCUAUACGGAGUUACAAAAGAAAGUUAUAAAUGAAGCGGUCUGGAAAGGCCCGCCAAAGACGGUAACAGCCCGGUAGUUGAAAUGGCUUUCCCUCCAGAGUGGAUCCUGAGUACGGCGGAACACGUGAAAUUCCGUCGGAAUCCGGGAGGACCAUCUCCCAAGGCUAAAUACUCCCUAGUGACCGAUAGUGAACCAGUACCGUGAGGGAAAGGUGAAAAGCACCCCGGAAGGGGAGUGAAACAGUUCCUGAAACCGUGUGCCUACAAGUAGUUAGAGCCCGUUAAUGGGUGAUAGCGUGCCUUUUGUAGAAUGAACCGGCGAGUUACGAUUUGUUGCAAGGUUAAGCGGAAAAAGCGGAGCCGUAGCGAAAGCGAGUCUGAAUAGGGCGCAUAAGUAACAGGUCGUAGACCCGAAACCAGGUGAUCUACCCAUGUCCAGGAUGAAGGUAAGGUAAUACUUACUGGAGGUCCGAACCCACGCACGUUGAAAAGUGCGGGGAUGAGGUGUGGGUAGCGGAGAAAUUCCAAUCGAACUUGGAGAUAGCUGGUUCUCUCCGAAAUAGCUUUAGGGCUAGCCUCGAGGUAAAGAGUCAUGGAGGUAGAGCACUGUUUGGACUAGGGGCCCUUCUCGGGUUACCGAAUUCAGAUAAACUCCGAAUGCCAUGUACUUAUACUCGGGAGUCAGACUGCGAGUGAUAAGAUCCGUAGUCGAAAGGGAAACAGCCCAGACCACCAGUUAAGGUCCCCAAAUAUAUGUUAAGUGGAAAAGGAUGUGGGGUUGCUUAGACAACCAGGAUGUUGGCUUAGAAGCAGCCACCAUUGAAAGAGUGCGUAAUAGCUCACUGGUCGAGUGACCCCGCGCCGAAAAUGUACCGGGGCUAAACAUAUUACCG